CUGGACUAGAUCUACACAAUUUCAAUAUAAUUUCUAGAUCUAUAUAUCUAAGACUAAUUAGUAUGGGCUUAAUAUUACUGUAUUAUUUAGUUUAACUACAAUUUUUCAGGUCAGCAGCAUUACAGUAAGCACUGGUACAGUGUACCGGCACUUUUUUCAAUGCAGCGAAAAAGUUACUUUUGUAUUUUAAAGUUUAUUAUUUAUUUAUUAAUUGUUAAAAGGCAAUCCAUCACUGAGCUCCGGCACCUAUUUCUUUACAAAAAAGCACUGAUUACCUGUAUAUUCUUUAACAAUAACGGUUUACUAUUCUCAGGAAUUAGUCAUUCAAAAGACGGUGAGGAAAAGAAUGGUCGACAAACUUUGUGUGGUGCCUUAACAGUCCAACAGACUAAGGGAUAGAUAAAGGUGGAUCUUGAUUAAACUGCCUGGUUUUGUGGUUUGCACGAGACGGUUGACACAAUGAUCUGAAGUUUAAACUGCCAUAUUCUACUGUCCGCUGCGAGAUCUUGGCUGGAAUGUAAAAGGAAUGUCCAAAAUAUUUAAAUGACAAACAGGAUGAGAACUGAUUAUGAGGAAUAUGCUGAAACAGACAUCUGGCAUAUUCCUAUAAUCAGUAUCAUGGCCUUUGUAUACAACAAAAUUGAUUGGAACUCCUAGACUAGAAAUAUAAUUCAAGAUUUAAAUAAGGCACUGGUCAUAGUUUUAGAAAGUGUGGCUAGCAUUCUGGUAAGAUAUUUUAUUGAUAAUUAGAAAUUAAAUUAAAUUUUAUUUAAUGAUUUUAAAUUUCUUUUUUAAGAAUUAUGGUCCAUUUUUUCCCCAUUUGUGUACAAAGAAGGAAGACAGAGAGAUGGGAAGACAUCAAAGAAUGGACAGGUCUGCCAUGAAAUGGUUUAUCCAGGGCUAAGUACAGAGAGGAAUAUAGAAAGGCUGUUGACAGAUCUUGUGUGGUGCCCCCA